rnacentral:tRNA from 1 species
GGGCGCGUAGCUCAGCCUGGUAGAGCACGUCGUUCGCAACGACGGGGCCCCGAGUUCAAAUCUCGGCGCGUCCA